UUGGAGGGCAAGUCUGGUGCCAGCAGCCGCGGUAAUUCCAGCUCCAAUAGCGUAUAUUAAAGUUGUUGCAGUUAAAAAGCUCGUAGUUGAAUUUCGGGAUUCAUCCGUUGGUCGGGCUUCACGGUCCGUACUGGUGUGAUGGGUUCCUACCUUCUGAAUAGCCGGCAUGCCAUUAAUUUGGUGCGCCGGGGAAGCAGAACUAUUACCUUGAAAAAAUUAGAGUGCUUAAAGCAGGCAAGUGCCUGAAUAGGUUAGCAUGGAAUAAUAAAAUAGGACGGCAUGGUUCUAUUUUGUUGGUUUCUAGGAUCACCGUAAUGAUUAAUAGGGAUAGUUGGGGGCAUUAGUAUUCAAUUGUCAGAGGUGAAAUUCUUGGAUUUAUUGAAGACUAACUUCUGCGAAAGCAUUUGCCAAGGAUGUUUUCAUUAAUCAAGAACGAAAGUUAGGGGAUCGAAGACGAUCAGAUACCGUCGUAGUCUUAACCAUAAACUAUGCCGACUAGGGAUCGGACGAUGUUAAUUUUUUAAUGACUCGCUCGGCGCCUUACGGGAAACCAAAGUGUUUGGGUUC
rnacentral:rRNA from 1 species